UACGAAGGGGGCUAGCGUUGCUCGGAAUCACUGGGCGUAAAGCGCGCGUAGGCGGAUCGUUAAGUCGGGGGUGAAAUCCUGGAGCUCAACUCCAGAACUGCCUUUGAUACUGGCGAUCUUGAGUCCGGGAGAGGUGAGUGGAACUCCGAGUGUAGAGGUGAAAUUCGUAGAUAUUCGGAAGAACACCAGUGGCGAAGGCGGCUCACUGGCCCGGUACUGACGCUGAGGUGCGAGAGCGUGGGGAGCAAACAGG
rnacentral:rRNA from 1 species